UACGUAGGUGGCGAGCGUUGUUCGGAUUUAUUGGGCGUAAAGGGUCCGUAGGAGGUUUGUUAAAUUCGGGGUGAAAUCCGGGAGCUCAACUCCCGAACUGCCCUGAAGACUGAUGGACUGGAGUGCUGGAGAGGUAAGCGGAAUUCCAGGUGUAGCGGUGGAAUGCGUAGAUAUCUGGAAGAACACCGAAAGCGAAGGCAGCUUACUGGACAGCAACUGACUCUGAAGGACGAAAGCGUGGGGAGCAAACAGG
rnacentral:rRNA from 1 species